rnacentral:tRNA from 1 species
GGGGAUGCAUAGCUCAGUGGUUAGAGCACCUUCUUUGCAUGCAUGAGGUCCCAGGUUCAGUUCCUGACAUCUCCA